UUAUGGGGUAGCGCUGGGGACAGGUGGCCGGGCCAAGUUCCGGGGGUCCUCCAUGAGAGUCGUGGAUGGGCCCCGCUGUCGGCUG
ensembl:misc_RNA